rnacentral:rRNA from 1 species
GAUUUCUGGUACGGUGCGCCUGGUCCGCCCCAUUAUGGUGUGUGAGUACCGGUGCGCGCCUACCAUCCUUCUGGGGAGCGAAUCUACCCUUCAUUGGGCCGGGUUCGCGACCUAGAUCGUUUACUUUGAAAAAAUUAGAGUGUUUAAAGCAGGCAUAUUGCUCUGAAUACAUUAGCAUGGAAUAAUAAGAUAGGACUUUGGUUCUAUUUUGUUGGUUUCUAGGACUGAAGUAAUGAUUGAUAGGGACAGUUGGGGGUGCUAGUAUUCAGUGGCCAGAGGUGAAAUUCUUGGAUUCACUGAAGACUAACUUAUGCGAAAGCAUU